CAUCCCCACAUAUAAUCUAGCUGGUUGACCAUAUUACUCUAUAUAACAAUUUGCGUCAAUUGUUGGCUACAGUAAUGCAUCCAGACCGUUCAUUUUUCUAUCUACGGUACGCACCUCCUCUCCUUCUAUCUCCUUCUCUCUGUGUCAUCUUCUGAUUUUUGGGGUGGAUCGCACGAGUCUCCAGCGGAGUUCAGGUGAAUCAGAUCGGCAGCAAGUCACGCGAACAAGAUGAGCGACGAUCCGACGAAGAUUAGCGGUGGAAUCAAGCGACGAUGGUGGUUUUAUUGCUGAAUGGGGUCUUCAUAUCGUUUUUUUUCUAGCCGGCAUAAAGGUCUUCUUCUCUUUUGUUGUUUCUUUAUGAUAGUUGACCUAUCAAGCGCCUUCAAUCCAGGUCUAAGCAUUCGCAUGAGGGAAAGACGGAGUUUUUGCCUGAGUUGUCGAUUAUCGCGUGUAUGAGGCAUAAGAAUCUUGUCCUGCUCCAAUGAUGGUGUGUCGAAAAAGGCGAGUAUGUGUCGUAUGGGAGUAUUGAUAAAGUGUUUAAUCAAGAGUCUGGGCAUUGGGGGUUCUUGAAAUGGAACCAUAGGUAUAAUAUUGCGGUUGGGUUGGCUUCAGUUUUGGCGUACCUUCAUCAAGAAUGCGAGCAACAAGUGAUCCAUCGCAAUAAUAAAGCUAGUAAUGUGAUGCUAAUUUUAAUGCUCGGUUAGGUGAUAUCGGGCUGGCCCGGAUCAUCGACCAUGAUAAAAGCACGGUCUCUACACUAACUGCGGGGACCAUGGGUUAUUUAUUGCCCGAUUAUCUUAAAUACGGGAAAGCUACCGAUGAAACCGAUAUUUUCAGCUACGGUGUGGUAGUUCUAGAACUCUGUUGUGGGUUGAGACCAAUUGAGAGGGAGCUAAGGGGUCAUAAAAUGAACAAUUUAUUGGCUUGGGUGUGGGAGUUGCACUCCAAAAGUGCUAUUUGUGAUGCGGUUGACAAGCGGUUGAACAAAGAGUUUCAUCCGAAUGUGAGGGAAGCUUGCCUAGCCGGGCGUGCUUGCUAGAGUUGGUCGGGCUAGAUUGUGCCACACAAAUUCGUAAUAUCUAGAGCUAAGUAACAGGAUGGUAUGUGUUGAUAUUUUAGGUACUCAAACUUUAUGGUGUACAAAAUAGAAUCUGUCUUUUGGAGUUAUCACUGGUGAUAUGCGAAACUGGUAGUUACCUAUACCCUGCCGCAACGCGGCGGGUACUUCUGGUACUUAUACUAGUUAUAUUAACAAAUGUGGUAGGAUCUUAGGAAUAGUGUGGUGGUGCUAAUAUGCACCGCCAUGUGUCACAAUCUCAUCGGUUUGUGAUUUCAAAUUUUUUUGCAAUCUCAGAUAUUUCCGGGCAGGUUUCUUUGCAAUCUAAAUCAUUUUCGUUACAUUUUUAUUUUACGAUUUUCUCAGUUUUGGUCGUCGUUUGCUUACUACCCGUGCCCGCAACACUGGUUUUGCCCCCACUUUUUAAAAAUCCGUAAAAAAUGUUAAAAUAAAAACACGUCGACCCACUCGACUAUAUAAUAUUUGUCGAUAUAAGUUCAAGUUUGUCUAUGCUUUAUGUCAGGUCUCAAUAUAAGUUCAUGUUUUUCUUUGCCUGUGUUUUACGUCACGUGGCGGUAUAAAUUCGUGUGUUUUCUUUAAGAUUUUUACCGAUUUUGAUCGUCGCUUGCUUACUACGUAACACGGUUUUACCACCCGGCAACGCAGGGGUUAAAUACAAGUUUAUUAUAUAUUUAUAUUUAUAUGUGAAACAUUAUAUCAAAAUGUCCCCUUAUUUAAUAACCAUUAGCAACUAAAUUUAAGCAUUUUAACCUCGUAAAAAAUCUAUACUAUAUAAUAAAAGAAACCACUUUGAGGACACAUGUCGCUUUAUGAGGUGGUCUCAAUUAAAAUUUGUAGAAAAGAUUUUAAUGAUAAAGAUAAAGAUAAGUGAUAACUAUAUAUUAAUUAACAAAAUUAAAAACUAUAUAUUAACAUUUUUAUUAUUUAUAAAGAUAAAGAUAGUUUUAAUUGUUUAAAUAAAAGUUUAUAAUCUUUAUCUUUAUUUACUAUCUAAUAACCGACGAGUAAUAAAAAUUAAAAAAAAAACAUUUUUUUCUUUUAACAUUUUCUUUUACUUUUUCGCUUAUUAAUAACUAUUUAAUUUAAAAUUUCAUCGAUUUAACCAUGCGUAAUACUUAAGUUUCUAACCUAUUAAUAAAUAAAUAAAAAUAAAGUAAAAUGUUAACUUGUGUAAUACACAAGUUUCUAACCUAAUAAUAAAUAAAUAAAAAACAAAUUAAAAUGUUAUAAUACAUCAAAGUUCAUUUUUUUUUCAAAAACAUAUAUUGACGACCAUAUGUGUUAACCAAUUAUAUUAUAUUUAAUCAACCCGUGUAAUACACGUGUUUAUUCAACCCAUGCAAUACACGUUUUUCAAGAUGUAACUUUUUUAUUAUCUAUAAUAGGGAAAAUGUCACAGAAUAGUAACCAUAUUUUAAAAGUGUUCUAAUUAGGUCAUUCGUAUCGUUUUUGUCCCAAUUAGAUAACUUAACAUUCAAAUCGAGCCAUGUCCUUUUAUCCAUGUGUCAAGAAAAAAAUGGAGCAUAAGAUGUUAGGCUCGGAUUAUUUUAAUAUAUGAAGUUAUAUUUAUUAAAAAUAAAAAUACUUUAAUUACAUUAAAAAUUUAAAAAACAAGUUACAAUCCACGUCACUUGAGUUAGCAUCAAAUAAAAGGGAAAAAAGAAAUAAAAAUCCACAUCACCACGGUUACCUAUGAAAUAAAUAAAAAAACCCUUAAUAUUAAUGAAAAAUGAAUGUUUGAGUGAUCUGAUUGGAACACUUUUAAAACUUGAGUGACCUAACUGGAACACUUUUAAAACUUGGUUACUAUUCUACAAAGUUACCCCAUAAUAUAUAAAGUUAUAUUUAUUCAACCCGUGUAAUACACGGGGUUAUAACCUAGUUAUAUUAUAUAUAAUAACCUUUGCCGUAGGUCUUAGGAACAGUGAGCCAGGGCUAGGGGUGCUAGACGGGUCGUGUUCGCGGGUUGGUGGGUUCAACCCGACCCGAACCCGAAAAUCGUUUCAUACAUAUGAACCCGAACCUGAUCCGGAUAUUCGCAGGCUAACCCGAACCCGACCCGUUCAAUCCGAAUUUUUUUAUUUUUUUUAAUUUUUUAAGCAAAUUAAUAUAUUAAAAUUAACAUCUACUAAAAAAAACACAAAUUAGAUAAUAAAAUUACAUUAAAAUCAUAAAAUCUAUUUUUUUUGCAAUCUCAGAUAUUUCCGGGCAGGUUUCUUUGCAAUCUAAAUCAUUUUCGUCACGUUUUUAUUUUAUGAUUUUCUCAGUUUGGGUCGUCGUUUUCUUAUUACCCGUGCCCGCAACACUGGUUUUGCCCCCACUUUCUAAAAUUCGUAAAAAAUGUUAAAAUAAAAACACGUCGACCCACUCGACUAUAUAAUAUUUGUCGAUAUAAGUUCAAGUUUGUCUAUGCUUUAUGUCGGGUCUCAAUAUAAGUUCAUGUUUUUCUUUGCUUGUGUUUUACAUCACGUGACGGUAUAAAUUCGUGUGUUUUCUUUAAGAUUUUUACCGAUUUUGAUCGUCAGUUGCUUACUACGUAACACGGUUUUACCACCCGGCAACGCGGGGGUUGAAUAAAAGUUUAUUAUAUAUUUAUAUUUAUAUGUGAAACAUUAUAUCAAAAUGUCCUCUUAUUUAAUAACCAUUAGCAACUAAAUUUAAGCAUUUUAACAUCGUAAAAAAUUAUAUUAUAUAUAAUAACAUUUGCCGUAGGUCUUAGGAACAGUGAGCCAGGGGCCAGGGCUAACUUGCGCUGCCUACAGAAAUUACGAAAGUGCCCUACAUGAAAACAUACAAUAUUGUCAUUUCGUCCUUUUUAAAACUUUUUUUAAUCAAGGAACAAACAUAGAAGCACAUGGUACAUGCACAGGUCCACCAGACCACCACCACCUUACGCCACUACCGAAAUUGUCGCCGGAAUGUGUUGCAAGCGUUAGACCUAGGGGUGUUCAAAAUCAGGUAUCCGAUAUCCGAAUUUUGGGUAGGGGCUUGGGAACAGUUCCCGCUUCCAGGUUUUGGCGAGCUCCAUCUUCCGGUCAUUCCCACCUUUACACAGCAGCGCACAGACAUGUCAUCCACCAACAACUACCACCCAGCCCCAAUCCACUUCCGGCGACAUCCAGUUACUACCCUCGCUCACCAUCGCUCUCCUCCGAAUCAACGUCACGUGCUAACAUCGAUCAACACCGCUCUACCCCAAACUAAGUGACGACUUUCGUCAGACGAUUAGGGCUCCAACAGGUCAAAGAAAGGAAAGGACAUAAAAAAGUCGUUGUUCAGAAGCUUUAUGAUGCAUGUAGGGAGGUCAAAGGUGUUUGCUAAUUUUCACUCAUCAGUUGUUCCAGAUGCUGAGGGCAUUGAACACCUGAAAGAUAUUUUAAGUACUGGUGCAAAUGGAGCGAAAAUGAGUAAUAAAGAAAUGACCAACCAGUUGGGCAAAGUAGACCGUCAGGGACCGAAUAAAAAUUGCCACUAUUUUUUGUGAGUGGACCGAUGCCACUAUCUCUAUUUUACAAGUUAGAAUGUUGCCUUAUUAUUUAUUGUUGUGGUGUUGGGCUUUCAAAAGAUAUAUUAAAAUUUGUAUGGACAAUCUGGGGGUUCGGAACAUAUAUACAAUACUAGGUUAAAACUCCGUGUAUUACACGGGUUGAAUAAAUGUAAUUUUA